rnacentral:rRNA from 1 species
GACGAACGCUGGCGGCGUGCUUAACACAUGCAAGUCGAACGGUGAAGCGCCUUCCUUUUUGGUGGGUGUGGAUGAGUGGCGAACGGGUGAGUAACACGUGAGUAACCUGCCCCCUUCUUCUGGAUAACCGCAUGAAAGUGUGGCUAAUACGGGAUAUUCUGGGUCUGUCGCAUGAUGGGUCUGGGAAAGAUAUUGUUUCGGUGGGGGAUGGGCUCGCGGCCUAUCAGCUUGUUGGUGGGGUGAUGGCCUACCAAGGCGGUGACGGGUAGCCGGCCUGAGAGGGUGGACGGUCACACUGGGACUGAGACACGGCACAGACUCCUACGGGAGGCAGCAGGGGGGAAUAUUGCACAAUGGGCGCAAGCCUGAUGCAGCGACGCCGCGUGAGGGAUGGAGGCCUUCGGGUUGUGAACCUCUUUCGCCAGUGAAGCAGGCCUGCCUCGUUUGUGGGUGGGUUGACGGUAGCUGGAUAAGAAGCGCCGGCUAACUACGUG